rnacentral:lncRNA from 1 species
GAAAAUGUAUUUUGGGUUUGGGUAAUGGGUUAAUUAUUAGGCUAUUGUAACUAGACUGAUAUUAUUGGACUUUUAAUUUUUAUUUGGCUUUAUAUUUUUUUUUUUAAAUGUUUGUGGGCCGGACAAAUUUAGGUUAUUACACCCAUUUUGGUAACAAUUUCAGUUUCAGUUAGGGCCUUAACCCAUUACAAUACAGAAGCAGUCAUGCAUUUGGGCCUUGGCCCAUUACAGUAUCAAUACUCA